UACGUAGGGGGCAAGCGUUGUCCGGAAUCAUUGGGCGUAAAGAGCGUGUAGGCGGCCCGAUAAGUCCGCUGUGAAAGUCCAGGGCUCAACCCUGGAAUGCCAGUGGAAACUGUCGGGCUGGAGUCCGGAAGAGGCGAGUGGAAUUCCUGGUGUAGCGGUGAAAUGCGCAGAUAUCAGGAAGAACACCAACGGCGAAGGCAGCUCGCUAGGACGGUACUGACGCUGAGACGCGAAAGCGUGGGGAGCGAACAGG
rnacentral:rRNA from 1 species